rnacentral:lncRNA from 1 species
GGCUAGGGGUCUAAUCGGAGCUGUAGCCACCGGCCUACGCCAGAGCCACAGCAACGCGGGAUCCAAGCCGCAUCUGCAACCUACACCACAGCUCACAGCAACGCCAGUUCGUUAACCCACUGAGCAAGGGCAGGGACCGAACCCGCAACCUCAUGGUUCCUAGUCGGAUUCGUUAACCACUGCGCCACGACGGGAACUCCCUUCCUUCCUUUCUUUUCUUCCUUCCUUCCUUCCUUCCUUCCUUCCUUCCUCUCUCUCUCUCUCUCUCUCUCUCUCUUUUUUCUUUCUUUCUUUCUUUCUUUUUAUCUUUGGCUGCAUCCUCAGCAUGUGGAGGUUCCCUGGCCAGGGAUUGAACCCACGCCACAGCAGUGACAGUAUUGGCUCCUAACCUUUUGAGCCACCAGGGAACUCUCACGCUUACAGUCUGUAUAGCCACUCAAAAGUCCAUUUAUUUGUUAUUCUAAAGCAGUGAUUUUCGGGAGUUCACUUGUGGCGCAGCAGGUUAAGGAUCUAGCGUUUUCACUGCAGCAGGCUUGAGUCGCUGCUGUGGCGCAGGUUCGAUCCCUGGCUUGGGAACGUCUGCAUGCCAUGAGCAUAGACAAAAAUAAAUGAAUAAAUAAAUAAAGCAGUGAUUGUUAAGUAGGCAGUCCUAUUCAGCAGGGGGCCCUUGGCAAUGUCUGGAGACAUUUUGGUCGCCACGUGGGGUGGAGGAUCUGAUGGGCAGAGGCCAGGGAUGCUGCUAAACAUCCUGUGGUCCACAGGACAGCCUCCACCGCAGAGAAUGGUCUGGCCCCACUGUCUUUGUCCUGGGAUUGAAGACCUCUGGUCUGAAGGAACCAGUAGAACUAUCCGAUGGUGGCCAGCACAGUUGACACGUUUUUGCUCUGGCACACAGUGUUAUUUGUCUCUAGGACGAUUCAAGAGUUUUAGCUUCAUAAGUAGAGCUUCUGCACUUGCCUUUGUCUUCAGGGUUCUUUCAGGCAAGUGAGCAUAAAACCAGGCAGUUUGCCUUAGAAGGAGUUCAUUGAGAAUCAGUCCUCAGGCCAUGCGGUUAUAAUGUGAUGCUGGCGGCAAUGCAGUUCUCUUGCUUUAAUCUAUACCUUUUUUGGAGUUCCUGUCGUGGUGCAGUGGUUGAUGAAUCUGACUAGGAACCAUGAGGUUGUGGGUUCAAUCCCUGGCCUCGCUCAGUGGGUUAAGGAUCUGGUGGCAUUGCCGUGAGCUGUGGUGUAGGUCGCAGACACAGCUCAGAUCCUGCGCUGCUGUGGCUCUGGUGAAGGCUGGUGGCUACACCUCUGAUUAGACUCCUAGACAAGAAAAAAAAAAUCUAUACUGUUCCUCGUGGAGCGGGAGAUAGCUUGGAAUUGCAAGUAGGAACUUCUUUUUAAGAAGCCUCUUGGGCUUUUUAUGAUACGUCCAACUUAUUCCUGAUACUCCAGGGGGGCAUAGGUUACUGCCAAUUAAAAGAGAAGAGUAAGCAGUCAGGGUCAAAGAAGUUUUAAAAGGCUUUAUUUUUCCAAUAGUUUAUUCAUACGGUUUCAGAAAGCAAUUUGUUUUCUGUAGUUGACAUAGAAUUCUAAGCCUUGUGUAUUGUUUGUUCAUGGUGCAUGGGGGGUUCUGUUCCUUUGGUUUGGGGGGAACAAAAGGAAACAUUUUUAGAAGGAAAUUAAGUGAGUUGGGUUUUUUUUAAUAACGAUAUUUAUUUUUUUCCAUCAUAGCUGGUUUACAGUGUUCUGUACAGGAAGGUGACCCAGUCACACAUACAUGUAUGCCUUCUUUUUUCUCUCAUUAUCAUGCUCCGUCGUAAGUGGCUGUCGUCCCCCGUGCUGUACAGCAGGAUCUCAUUGCUUAUCUGAGUUGGCGUUUUUAAAUUUUGUCUGUUUUUUGCUUUUUCACAUGGUCUUGAGAGGGCAAAUGCCCUGUGGAUGUGAGUUUUGAUAUUCAGUUGUAGUGCAGCAGACAUUAGCGCAUAAUGCCCCUCCCACCUUUUGUGGAGUGGACCCCACGCUGUGAGAGAUGCUUGUCAGUCAAGGCAGCAGCUAAUUAGAUUAGCUCCGCUGCUUCCCUGGACACCUUCCAGCCGCACACGCACUGUCACAUCUGCCAUGGGCAUCAGUUCAGGCUCCCACUUUCCCUGUUCCUUUGACUCAAACCAGCCCACGUUUGGAACUGAAGAGAGUGCACGUUUCUGGGAUGUCCGCUCAUGUCUAGACCACGUUUGUUAGGUGGGGGCUAUCAGAACGGAAGCAGGAAGUGCACAUUCUUUAGGAGCAUACAACUAGGGACAAGGAGGGGGUCCUAGGCCCUCAAUGACUGUAUACAGCUCAAUUAAAUAACUCGUGAUAUUAUACCAGCCGUACAUACAGAGAUCCAAGGGGUUUGGAAUGCCCCAGCCUGUGAAUUUCUUUUUAGGGCCACACGGAUGGCAUAUGGAGGUUCCCAGGCUAGGGGUUGACCACAGCCACAGCAACUCAGAAAGGACUCGAGCCGAGUCUGCAACCUAUACCACAGCUCACGGCAAUGCCAGAUCCUUAACCCACUGAGCGAGGCCAGGGAUCGGACCCGUGUCCUCAUGGAUGCUAGUUAACUGCAUAGCCACGAUGGGAACUCCUGUUUUCACUUUUAAAUGAAAAUGGCCAAACUGAAAAUAGUGAGCUGUUGGAGUUCCUACCAUGGGGCAGUGGGUUUAGAAUCCAACUGCAGUGGCUCGGGUUGCUGCAGAGAAGUGAGUUCAAUCCCUAGCCUGGCAGUGGGUUAAGGGUCUGGGGUUGCCACAGCUGCAAUGUAGAUUGAAGCUGUGGCUCAGAUUCAAAACCUGGCCUGGGAAUUUCCAUAUGUUGUGAGUAUAGCCAUAAAAUUAAAAUAAUAUAAAAUUAGCUGUUGCUCAAGUUGCAGUAGACCAUUGGAGUUUGAAGGUAUUCUAGAAAUCUUCCUUUUUCCUUUCCUUUAUUCAUGGUAAAAAACAAAACCACCACCAACAAAAAACCCCCCUUGGAGUUCCCUCAUGCUCAGCGGGUUAAGGAUCCAGCAUGGCCACUCCUGUGGCUCUAGUCACUGCUAUGACAGGGGUUCGAUCCCUGGCCAGAGAGGGAACUUCCACAUGCCACAGGCAUGGCCAAACAAACAAAAAUCCCUGCUUUGCUUUAAUUGUGAAGCCGAUGGGAAGUCAGGGCUGAGGUCCUGACGGUGGGCAAUGCUGGUCACGUGGGCUCUCUGAACGGUGACUAUGCCCCCUGUGUGCCUGCAGGACCUAGGAACCAUGUGCCCCAGGCUUGUUCGUGCGCAAAUCACCCCAGUGCUCUCCAUUCUUCCCUCUGGGGAUGUAGUGGGAACCACCUCCCUUCGGUGAUGGCAAGGCAGCUUCGUGCAAAAGGCUUGUCCUCUGAUCUUCUCUCGUGGAACAUGACAGUAUUCUCUGUGAUGGCUGAAUUAAUGAUCAGAACUGGUUUGCUAGCAGACAGUUGGAUGCUAAUUAUGAUUGGUACCUUUGCAACCCCCACACCCAAAUCUGUUGAUGUUUGUUGGUGGUGGUAAAAAUGAAAAGCCGUUAAAUAUGAGGAAAAAAAAAGGUAAUUUUUUUGAACAGCGGAAAGCAAUGCAGAUUAGGCCAGGAAACUUUGAUGGAGUUCUCUGUGAUCUGAGCCAAAGCCACUCCACCUGGUUAUGGGGAAGGAAAGCGAAGAGGUGUUUAAUUAAUUGUUACUUUCUGGUCAAGAGGAGUUUGAGUUUGGAUAUGUCAGUUUCAAAAACCAGCAUUGAUUAGAUCUGCGGGGACAUUUGGGGAGGUGUUCCCAGAAGGUCUAAAUCUGAUUCUCCAAUUUGACCUCACGCUGUGUCCCGGGUUUGUGAAAUCUUUCUAGCGGGUUCCACCUGGGAAGAAUUAUUUUCAAUUAAAUGGAUCUGACCAGUGGAGAAAGAAGCAUGAAAAGCCCAAGCAGUGUGGGGUCCUGUUGUGAACAAAGGUGUCCAGCUCACAAAGGGACAGCUUGGGUGUCAGCCUGUGCUCAGACGGGCUCUGGGUACCAUUUUACCUUCCCAUCGACAGUUGCUUUAAUGAGGUGUCGAGUUGAAGGCGGGUGGGUGCUUCCCGGAGCUGUGUGAUGCAAGAAGCUGGAUGUGGUCUCUGACUCUCGCUGGGGACAAGCCAGAAGGAGGCCAACACACCCUUGAUCAUUGGAAGGGGUGAUAAACUAUUGGGAAAUUAUCAAAAAAAAAAAAGUAGGAAGGGGAUCUAGCAUUAUUGGGGAAAGCAGAAAAGCAGAGAAAAAGGAAACUAGGAAACUUAUUCAUUUCACAUAGGUAUGUGAACAGGCUAGGGGUCUAAUUGGAGCUGCAGCCUACACCACAGCCACAGCAAAGCCAGAUCUGAGCCGCUUCUGCAACCCACACCACAGCUCACCCGGCAGCGCUGGAUCCUUAACCCACUGAGUGAGGCAAGGGAUCGAACCCGCAACCUCAUGGCUCCUAGUUGGAGUCGUUUCCGCUGUGCCACGCCUCCAGGAACUCCAGAAACCUAAACAUUUGUUUUUUCUUCUCUCUUUUGGCUGCCCCUCAGCAUAUGGAAGUCCCAGGUUUAGGGAUCGGAUCCGAGCCUCAGUAUCGACUACACCACAGCUGCAGCAACGAUGGAGCCUUAACCCACUGUGCGGGGCUGGGGAUUGAACCCGCAUCAUAGCUCCUGAUCCUGUUGCACCUCAGCGGGAACUCUCUAAACCUCUUUUAGGUCUUGUCUGGGUUUGUAGGAGUGCAGUGAGUCCCCACUCAUGAUCCACUCAUAACCAGCAUCAUUUCCUCUGGGGGAGAAUGGACACAAGUGCAAAGACAGGUGCAUGCAAACAAACUGCCUUGUUCCAUGUGGAACAGGGUGUAGUUGAGGAUUCGGCCCUUUUAUAAAGGCAGUUUUAAAGUCCCUGCAGCUUUUCUCCGGUUACCCUGUGGGGGUGGAUUUCCUGAUACAUUUUUCCUGCUUCCAAGAUACAAAGGGAAGAGAAGAUGAAUAAGAAAUUGAAGGGAAUUAUACUUAGUAAAUAUCGUUUCUCUUUGCCUUUUCCAAUUUUUCCCUUGAGACUUUUAGUCCUUGCCAUACAGUCAUUCAGGGACCUCCGUUCUCCCCUCUCUUGAGCCAGGGAGGGAAGCCCUCCUUGUUUAAAAAGACCCCGAGCCUUCCAUCCAUCCAAGUUCUGCUCACCGGAAGCGGUGCCGUAGCAUGGCUCCACCUGGCACAGGUAGAGCUUGGCAGUUUGGCUCAGUUGGAAGAGGUGAGGAGCGUGGGCGCCAAGCAACAGCUUGAACACCUGGAUUUGUUCAUGAGUUUUCUCGUUUAUUUAUUCACACGCCCUUUCACUCACGAACUGGUUCAUGGAAACUUGCUGAGCAUUAGAGAAUGUGGGGGACCAGGCCUGUCAUCAUUGUAAAGAAAACACGGGCCCCACCUGUUAAGGUCCCCACAGUGCGUUACAACCCCUGGGGAAGUUGUGGGGGGGGGGCAGUACCGGCCUCGCACAUUCUCCCACCAGCUGUUUCCAUGGAGACAAAGCAUGUGAAAGCCAAGUUAACACAGCUGGGCUUGUCCCUUUUUAAUGGACACAAGAAUUAGAACUUUGCCGUGUUCACAUAUUAGAAACCCACAUCCAAACAUCAGCAGUUUAAUAGCCGCAUAUCUCUGGAUUCUGUCCAUUUUGUUUGAGGCCUUCCUGGUGACUUUGCAGGGAGUGAUGCGGUCCAUCUGAAAAGAGCCUGGACUGGGCCUUCACGUAGGUUUUGAGUGCGUUUCUGCCGCCAGUGACCUCUGUCUCCUUGGCUAACUUGUGUGCCCCAGCCAAGCCUGUUUCUCAUCUGUGAAACAACGCAUUUUAACAAAAAGAGUUUAGGUCCUCCUAACUUUUAAAAUCUAUGCUUUUUUACCUGAAUGGGUCAAACCCAGCAAUUUUAAAAUUUUGUUUGUUUGUUUCUGUCUUUUGUCUUUUUAGUGCCACAUGGCAUAUGGAGGUUCCCAGGCUAGGGGUCCAAUUGGAGCUGAAGCUUCUGGCCUAUGCCACAGCCACAACAUCAGAUCCAAGCCACAUCUUCGAACUAUACCACAGCUCAUGACAACGCCUGAUCCGUAACCCAUUGAGCAAGGCCCAGGAUUGAACCUGCGUCCUCAUGGAUGCUGGUCGGGUUUGCUGAACCACAGGGGAACUCCCAGCAAUUUUAAAGUUUAAUCCAUUGAUUUUGUUAUCAAAAUGGGGAACAAAACCCAAACAAACUUUUUUUUUUUCCUGUUUAGGAUGAGAUGUUUGGAAAAAAA